GACGAACGCUGGCGGCGUGCUUAACACAUGCAAGUCGAACGGAAAGGCCUCUUUCGGGGGGUACUCGAGUGUCGAACGGGUGAGUAACACGUGAGUAACCUGCCCUUUACUUUGGGAUAACUUCAGGGAACUGGGGCGAAUACCGGAUAUGAGCUCCUGCUGCAUGUGGGGGGUUGGGGAGUUUCUGCGGUUGGGGGUGGACUCGCGGCUUAUCUGCGUGUUGGUGGGGUAGUGGGUUACCAAGGCGUUGUCGGGUAUCCGGGCUGGGAGGGUGAACGGGCAAAUUGGGACUGGGAUUAGGGCCAGAACCCUACGGGGGGCAGGAGGGGGGAAUAUUGCACAAUGGGUGGGAGCCUGAUGCAGGAACGCCGUGGGGGGGAUGACGGGCUUUGGGUUGUAAACCGCCUUCGGUCAUGACGAAGCUUUGUGUGACGGUAGUGGGUAAAGAAGCACCGGCUAACUACGUG
rnacentral:rRNA from 1 species